rnacentral:rRNA from 1 species
GAGCCUAACAUGGCAGUCGAACGAGAGACCUUCGGGUCUCUAGUGGCGAACGGGUGAGUAACACGUAGGGAACCCGCCCGCGCACCGGGAAUACGCUCUGGAAACGGAGAACAAAUCCCGAUGUACAGGAAGGAGGCAUCUUCUUUCUGUGAAACAUCCUUUAGGGGAUGGGGCGCGGAUGGACCUGCGGUGCAUUAGUUGGUUGGCGGGGUAAAGGCCCACCAAGACGAUGAUGCAUAGCCGGCCUGAGAGGGCGGACGGCCACAUUGGGACUGAGACACGGCCCAGACUCCUGCGGGAGGCAGCAGUAGGGAAUUUUCGUCAAUGGGCGCAAGCCUGAACGAGCGAUGCCGCGUGAGUGAAGAAGGCCUUCGGGUCGUAAAGCUCUGUUGCGGGGGAAAAAAGGCAGCAUCAGGAAAUGGGUGCUGACUGAUGGUGCCCCGCCAGAAAGUCACGGCUAACUACGUGCCAGCAGCCGCGGUAAUACGUAGGUGGCGAGCGUUAUCCGGAAUGAUUGGGCGUAAAGGGUGCGCAGGCGGUCCUGCAAGUCUGGAGUGAAACGCAUGAGCUCAACUCAUGCAUGGCUUUGGAAACUGGAGGACUGGAGAGCAGGAGAGGGCGGUGGAACUCCAUGUGUAGCGGUAAAAUGCGUAGAUAUAUGGAAGAACACCAGUGGCGAAGGCGGCCGCCUGGCCUGUUGCUGACGCUGAGGCACGAAAGCGUGGGGAGCAAAUAGGAUUAGAUACCCUA